rnacentral:rRNA from 1 species
GAUGAACGCUAGCGGCAGGCUUAAUACAUGCAAGUCGUGGGGCAGCAUGAAGUAGCAAUACUUUGAUGGCGACAGGCAAACGGGUGCGGAACACGUACACAACCUUCCUUUUAGUGGGGAAUAGCCCAGAGAAAUUUGGAUUAAUACCCCGUAACAUAGCGAUGAGGCAUCCCAUUGCUAUUAUAGCUUCGGCGCUAGAUGAUUGGUGUGCGUAUGAUUAGAUAGUUGGCGAGGUAACGGCUCACCAAGUCUACGAUCAUUAGCUGAUGUGAGAGCAUGAUCAGCCACACGGGCACUGAGACACGGGCCCGACUCCUACGGGAGGCAGCAGUAAGGAAUAUUGGUCAAUGGACGAAAGUCUGAACCAGCCAUGCCGCGUGAAGGAUUAAGGUCCUCUGGAUUGUAAACUUCUUUUAUAUGGGACGAAAAAAGGUCUUUCUAGAUCACUUGACGGUACCAUAUGAAUAAGCACCGGCUAACUCCGUGCCAGCAGCCGCAGUAACAC